rnacentral:misc_RNA from 1 species
GCUUCGAACGCGCGAUCGAGGAAUUGGAAUCCAUCGUCAAGCGCCUCGAGGACGGCAAGGUGCCGCUCGAGGAAUCGGUCGCGAUCUAUGAGCGCGGCGAGAGCCUGAAGCGCCGNCGAAGAACUGCUGCGCCAGGCCGAAGCGCGCGUCGACAAGAUCACCACCGACGCGUCCGGUCACGCUGUCGGCACCGAGCCGCUCGACGUUCAGUAACUGUUCCGGGCAUAAUUCGG